CCUACGGGCGGCAGCAGUGGGGAAUAUUGGACAAUGGGGGAAACCCUGAUCCAGCGACGUCGCGUGAGUGAUGAAGUACCUCGGUAUGUAAAGCUUCAUCAGCAGGGAAGAAAAUGACGGUACCUGACUAAGAAGCCCCGUAUAACUACGUGCCAGCAGCCGCGGUUCUACGUAGGGGGCAAGCGUUAUCCGGAUUUACUGGGUGUAAAGGGAGCGUAGUCGGUUGUGCAAGUCAGAUGUGAAAGUCCGGGGCUCAACCCCGGGACUGCAGUUGAAACUGUGCUGCUGGAGUGUCGGAGAGGUAGGCGGAAUUCGUGGUGUAGCGGUGAAAUGCGUAGAUAUUAGGAAGAACACCAGUGGCGAAGGCAGCCUGCUGGACGGUAACUGACGUUGAGGCUCGAAAGCGUGGGGAGCAAACAGGAUUAGAUACCCGUGUAGUC
rnacentral:rRNA from 1 species